rnacentral:lncRNA from 1 species
AGCUUUCCCCAAAAUAUUAGCCUGAUUAUCUGCCAAUGAUACGAUUUUGGGUGAAUUAUUGGCUUUGUGUUAUGUGCGACUCCCUACUCAUAACCAAUUUUGAAAAUUAGCUGCCAAACUGACAGACUAUCUUUCCUCUGACUAGACCCCAAGGUCCAAAUAUAGGAGGCACAUCGUGGAUUGAUUGAUUGAUUUGCAUCAUGGUUUUAUAGGUUCCCCCUUACCCUUUGGAAACUAAAAGUUAAAAAAAAAUACCCUUUGAGAUGAUCAAACUAUUUCUUUCCUGUUCAUCUGGCAUCUUCUUGUCCCCACACAUGGACAUAUGGACUAGGAUUAUAUCUCCUAAUUAAAUGUAAACCGGUGCUUCUCAAUUACUUGUGAUGAGAGACUUUUAAAAAGCAAUUUUUUAAAGAUUUUAUUUAUUUAUUCAUGAGAGACACACACAGAGAGAGAGAGGCAGAGACACAGGCAGAGGGGGAAGCAGGCUCCAUGCAGGGAGCCUGAGGUGGGACUAGAUCCCGGGUCCCCAGGAUCACGCCCUGGGCUGAAGGCGGCGCUAAACCGCUGAGCCACCCGGGCUGCCCUCUGAUCCAUCUUUGAUUGUUUUGGUCUAUUUGUAGUUGAACAAAAUGCUCCUUGAUGGUUAGUUUCUCCACUAAGACUGGUGUCCAAAGGUUUGAGACCACACCCUAAAGUAGCACUGCUGUAAACAGUCAUCACUGUGCAGUGGCUCAUCCACGUAGGGUGAAUAACUGGUCCUAAACAAUGUAAUGAUUGCAGAGCAUUAAAUUCAUGCAAACUCAGCUGAUAGAAGUUAGUAAGUGGCAACAAGCCUUAAAACAAGCUGUGAACUAGAAACUUGAAUUGGGACAGACCCGUAUCCAUGGGAAUUGGGACCAUAUUGAUAUUCCCCUUCUGAAUCUGACUCUACAUUUUAUCUUCAAAGAACGGACUAUUUUUCUGUCUACUAAGAACACUGUGAGACAAAAAGGCAUUUUUAAAAAAUUUUCCUUUCCCCAUAAUCAAAGCUAGAACCUCUUGGACUGCCAAAAUAAUUUGUCUUUUUCCUAAAUCGAUGUUGUUAAAGAGUUAUACAUCGGGCCUGUAGUCUUUCUUAAAAGUUUGAAUAGCCAAUUUAGGAAUCACAGAUCAGUCAUAUAGUAAAUGCUAUUAAUAGAUACCUAAACAGUACCACAGUUGACUAGCUGAAUGUGAGGUCUGAGGA